rnacentral:rRNA from 1 species
CGGCGGACGGGUGAGUAACGCGUAGGAAUCUACCUGGUAGUGGGGGACAACAUGGGGAAACUCAUGCUAAUACCGCAUACGCUCUACGGAGGAAAGCGGGGGCUCUUCGGACCUCGCGCUAUUAGAUGAGCCUAAGUCGGAUUAGCUUGUUGGUGGGGUAAAAGCCUACCAAGGCGACGAUCCGUAGCUGGUCUGAGAGGACGAUCAGCCACACUGGGACUGAGACACGGCCCAG